ensembl:snoRNA
UAUGCUCCUCAAGACAUUGCAGGUGUGGCUGCUGUGUCACAUCUGCGUCACUAGGCUGCAGAGAGAAUUGAGGCUAUGUCUACACUCAGUGUUCCCACCCGUGAACACCUGAAUGAUUAGUAGCCUGACAUGG